GAUGAACGCUGGCGGCGUGCCUAAUACAUGCAAGUCGAGCGAACAGACGAGGAGCUUGCUCCUCUGACGUUAGCGGCGGACGGGUGAGUAACACGUGGAUAACCUACCUAUAAGACUGGGAUAACUUCGGGAAACCGGAGCUAAUACCGGAUAAUAUAUUGAACCGCAUGGUUCAAUAGUGAAAGACGGUUUUGCUGUCACUUAUAGAUGGAUCCGCGCCGGAUUAGCUAGUUGGUAAGGUAACGGCUUACCAAGGCAACGAUGCGUAGCCGACCUGAGAGGGUGAUCGGCCACACUGGAACUGAGACACCGUCCAGACUCCUACGGGAGGCAGCAGUAGGGAAUCUUCCGCAAUGGUCGAAAGCCUGACGGAGCAACGCCGCGUGAGUGAUGAAGGUCUUCGGAUCGUAAAGCCCUGUUAUUAGGGAAGAACAAAUGUGUAAGUAACUAUGCACGUCUUGACGGUACCUAAUCAAAAAGCCACGGCUAACUACGUG
rnacentral:rRNA from 1 species